CGGGACGGGUGAGUAACGCGUGGAUAACCUGCCCCAUACCGGGGGAUAACAGCCGGAAACGGCUGCUAAUACCGCAUAAGCGCACGAGGCUGCAUGGCCCUGUGUGAAAAACUCCGGUGGUAUGGGAUGGAUCCGCGUCUGAUUAGCUAGUUGGUGAGAUAAAAGCCCACCAAGGCGACGAUCAGUAGCCGACCUGAGAGGGUGGCCGGCCACAUUGGGACUGAGACACGGCCCAGACUCCUACGGAAGGCAGCAG
rnacentral:rRNA from 1 species